rnacentral:misc_RNA from 1 species
GGAAGUAAAAGUCAUAACAAGGUUUCCGUAGGUGAACCUGCGGAAGGAUCAUUAGCAGAGGAGAGGAUUUGGGGCCAGAGGAAUCUGGUCACAUUUGCGGGGGGAUUGUUUUGUUGUAUCGUGUCGUGUGACAUGUGUGACAUGUGUGACAUUACACUGUUACACUAUGUUGCAAUAUUACACUUGAGCUCUCAACAAUGGAUCUCUGGGCUCUU